rnacentral:tRNA from 1 species
GGGGGUGUAGCUCAGCUGGUUAGAGCGCCGCCCUGUCACGGCGGAGGUCGCGGGUUCGAGUCCCGUCACUCCCG